rfam:Aphanizomenon flos-aquae 2012/KM/D3 spades_48_len_T:30019, whole genome shotgun sequence.
GUCAGUAACCCAGCCCUAAACGGACUGAGCUUGCAAGAGUAAUCAAGCAAGCCGUACUGACCAGACCACCCUGAGCGUCUUGCCCUGACUUGUGCCGAGCGAAGUCGAGGUAGCGAAGUCGAAGGGAGUCGAAGGGUAGCCGUUAUUUGAGUCACGACACCCACCGAAUGCGUAGCCCCUUCGGGGUUCAGCAGUCGCUCAUGGGGGAAACCCCCAAGACCGCGCUGCUUCACUAGUUCCCUGCUCUGUCAUUUGCAAUUAAACAGUUUUAGGGUCACUGAAACAGUGUUGCAAGUCUAAAAAGCUUUUAUAACUGGUCGUUCGCGCCAGCGUGCCGGAGGCAUCUAGCUAACAUUAC